rnacentral:lncRNA from 1 species
UUCCAUUUUGGCAAUGUGGGAUCUCUUUGCUUUCUGGGAAUAUUCAAAGGCCAGCUGGGAUAUUGUUGUAUGUUCUGCAAUGUGAGUCAGAGCAGGUUGGCACAGGCUUUGGUUAGCACAGAACGCCGGCUGUGUGGCAAUGUGUGACCAGGUCCGUGGACGUGGCUGGUCCCAGCUGUGCUCUGCCCCAGUUCCCAGAGCUUCUGCUGCUGGCUGAGGUCACCAGCUCCAGGAAAGGUCUGCUCCUGCUGACAGGGAGAUCUGCUGACUUCUGGCACUCACUAGUCACAGGGUUUGGCCUCCUACCAGCUGAGACUGAAGGCUGGUGAACUCUGUCAUGGUACCACCUCCUAGCUUUCCUUCUGCACUUAUUCCCAUCUUGUGGGUAGUUCAAAUCCACGGGGAAAAAAUCUCUCAGCAACAUCAACAGAAGCACAUCUGGUCCACACACACAGUUGAAGACAGAGUAUUCUUUUGGUUUGAUUAGUCUUUCUAUGCAAGUUCAAAUGUAUUGGAGAUAAGAAGAAGAAA